rnacentral:rRNA from 1 species
ACACGACUACAUUAGACUACCCGGUAGUUCCUAGCCGUAAACGAUACUCGCUAGGUGUCGGCCACGGUGCGACCGUUGUCGGUGCCGUAGGGAAGCCGUGAAGCGAGCCACCUGGGAAGUACGGCCGCAAGGCUGAAACUUAAAGGAAUUGGCGGGGGAGCACCACAACGGGUGGAGCUUGCGGUUUAAUUGGAUUCAACGCCGGAAAUCUUACCGGGACCGACAGCAACAUGAAGGCCAGGCUGAAGACUUUGCCGGAUUAGCUG